rnacentral:rRNA from 1 species
UACGUAGGGUGCAAGCGUUGUCCGGAAUUAUUGGCGUAAGAGCUCGUAGGCGGUUGUCACGUCUGCUGUGAAAACUGGAGGCUCAACCUCCAGCUUGCAGUGGGUACGGGCAGACUAGAGUGCGGUAGGGGAGAUUGGAAUUCCUGGUGUAGCGGUGGAAUGCGCAGAUAUCAGGAGGAACACCGAUGGCGAAGGCAGAUCUCUGGGCCGUAACUGACGCUGAGGAGCGAAAGCGUGGGAGCGAACAGGAUUGAG